rnacentral:rRNA from 1 species
CGGUUGAUCCUGCCGGAGGCUACUGCUAUCAGAGUUCGAUUAAGCCAUGCUAGUCGAGGGUGCUUUCUUCUUAGGAAGAAGGUACCCCGGCAGACGGCUCAGUAACAUGUAGUUAACAUACCCUUAAGAUCGAUAUAAUCCCGGGAAACUGGGACUAAUAUCGAAUAGGUUAAUAUACUGGAAUGUAUAUUUACCAAAAGCUUUGGCACCUAAGGAUUGGACUGCAGCCGAUUAGCUAGUUGCUAGGGUACCAUCCUGGCAAAGCGAUAAUCGGUACGGGCCUUGAGAGAGGAAGCCCGGAGAUGGAUUCUGAGACAAGAAUCCAGGUCCUACGGGACGCAGCAGGCGCGAAACUUUCCCAAUGCGCGCAAGCGUGAGGAAGGGAUUCUGAGUGCUCCCUCGUACUUCGAGGGAGCUUUUCAAGAGUGUAAAAAGCUCUAGGAAUAAGUGGUGGGUAAGGACUGGUGCCAGCCGCCGCGGUAAUACCAGCGCCACGAGUGGUAGCCACGCUUAUUGGGCUUAAAGCGUUCGUAGCCGGUUUGGUAAGUCCCUAAUGAAAUCCUACAGUUGACUGUAGGGCUUGUUAGGGAUACUGCCGAACUUGAGACCGGGAGAGGCUGAGGGUAUUAUUGGGGUAGGGGUUAAAAUCCUAUAAUCCCAAUAAGACCACCUGUGGCGAAGGCGCUCAGCCAGAACGGAUCUGACGGUGAGGGACGAAAGCUAGGGGAGCGAAGCGGAUUAGAUACCCGCGUAGUCCUAGCUGUAAACGAUACCCACUAGACAUUGGCAGUCUUACGGGGGCUGCCAGAGUCGUAGGGAAACCGUUAAGUGGGUCGCCUGGGGAGUACGGUCGCAAGGCUGAAACUUAAAGGAAUUGGCGGGGGAGCAC